GCUAACAAUGAUUUCUUAUUAAUUUCAAAAAACUAGGCGGCUAGUAUUUUUUGUUAUUGUGAAAUGUCAUUAUUUCGAUUGAUGUUCAGUAACUGUUAAAUAUGACAGUACCGAGUUGUAUUAAUUCGUGAAUUUUCUGUAGUAUUGCUUCGAAUUAAUUUGAAGUAGGUAGGUGGCUAUGGAGACAGAUCGCGAACUCAGAUGGAAGUGUGUAACUUAUUUAAUGAAAAAUACCCAGAAAGACGCAUAACACAGUCAGCAGUAAGUAAGAUUGAAAAUAAAUUUCGAGAAACUGGUACAGUUAAAAAUGCAUGCAAAUCAGGUCUGUAAAUGAUGAUACAAAACUAGAUGUUCUACUUGCUUUUGAAGAAGAUGUGCACACUUCUGUUCGUAAGAUAGAAGAAUAGAAUUUUGUGAAGCCAUGAUGGAUAACUGUCACCGACACCGUCUCCUCGUAAAAAAUAUAACUUUCUGAUGAAGCCACUUUUACAUUAAAUGGUGCGGUCAACCGUCAAAAUUGUAGGUACUGGGCCAAAGAAAACCCCCACUGGAUGCGUGAGCAUCAUACAGAAUACCCGCAAAAGGUUUUUAUAAAACGACUUUUGGUUUUGGAAAUAUCGAGUUUAUUCCAUACUUUGAGGACACACUGUAUACCUAAGUUUCAACAAAUGAGAUAGUGACUUUUCAAACUAUAUUUUGCAGGACGGUUACUCAAGUUACGGCAAGAGUGGACAACAAUGUUUGAGGGCAACAUUUCUCAAACCACCUUCAGAAGAUCCUUACUGGUACGGGGUUUUUGCCGGAAUUUUGUUGAUGGUGUGGCUAGUGAUAACCAUAUUAUCGUUUGGCAGAACGAAAAGUUACAUCAGGUUACUGUUGUUGCUGGUAGUUCCAACCUUUGGCUGUUUUCUGGCCCUCUUCGUGAAAUCCAUGAUGCUACAAAAUGA